CAGUAGCCGCGGGAAUACGUAGGGUGCGAGCGUUAAUCGGAAUUACUGGGCGUAAAGCGUGCGCAGGCGGUUCGUUAAGACAGAUGUGAAAUCCCCGGGCUUAACCUGGGAACUGCAUUUGUGACUGGCGAGCUAGAGUAUGGCAGAGGGGGGUAGAAUUCCACGUGUAGCAGUGAAAUGCGUAGAGAUGUGGAGGAAUACCGAUGGCGAAGGCAGCCCCCUGGGCCAAUACUGACGCUCAUGCACGAAAGCGUGGGGAGCAAACAGGAUUAGAUACCCCUGUAGUCCCUGUCUCUUAUAC
rnacentral:rRNA from 1 species